AAUGUCUGGGAAACUGCCUGAUGGAGGGGGAUAACUACUGGAAACGGUAGCUAAUACCGCAUAACGUCGCAAGACCAAAGAGGGGGACCUUCGGGCCUCUUGCCAUCAGAUGUGCCCAGAUGGGAUUAGCUAGUAGGUGGGGUAACGGCUCACCUAGGCGACGAUCCCUAGCUGGUCUGAGAGGAUGACCAGCCACACUGGAACUGAGACACGGUCCAGACUCCUACGGGAGGCAGCAGUGGGGAAUAUUGCACAAUGGGCGCAAGCCUGAUGCAGCCAUGCCGCGUGUAUGAAGAAGGCCUUCGGGUUGUAAAGUACUUUCAGCGAGGAGGAAGGUGUUGAGGUUAAUAACCUCAGCAAUUGACGUUACUCGCAGAAGAAGCACCGGCUAACUCCGUGCCAGCAGCCGCGGUAAUACGGAGGGUGCAAGCGUUAAUCGGAAUUACUGGGCGUAAAGCGCACGCAGGCGGUCUGUCAAGUCGGAUGUGAAAUCCCCGGGCUCAACCUGGGAACUGCAUUCGAAACUGGCAGGCUAGAGUCUUGUAGAGGGGGGUAGAAUUCCAGGUGUAGCGGUGAAAUGCGUAGAGAUCUGG
rnacentral:rRNA from 1 species